rnacentral:rRNA from 1 species
GUCGAGCGGUAACAGGUGUAGCAAUACAUGCUGACGAGCGGCGAACGGGUGAGUAAUGCUUCGGAAUCUACCCAAUGGCGGGGAAUAACUAGCCGAAAGGUUAGCUAAUACCGCAUAAGCCCUACGGGGGAAAGCAGGGGAUCGUAAGACCUUGCACCGAUGGAUGAGCCGAAGCCGGAUUAGCUAGUUGGUAGGGUAACGGCCUACCAAGGCGACGAUCCGUAGCUGGUCUGAGAGGACGACCAGCCACACUGGGACUGAGACACGGCCCAGACUCCUACGGGAGGCAGCAGUGGGGAACAUUGGACAAUGGGGGAAACCCUGAUCCAGCGACGCCGCGUGUGUGAAGAAGGCCUGCGGGUUGUAAAGCACUUUUAGUGGGGAUGAAAAGCCUAGGGAUAAUACCUCUGGGUCUUGACCUAACCCACAGAAAAAGCACCGGCUAACUCUGUGCCAGCAGCCGCGGUAAUACAGAGGGUGCAAGCGUUAAUCGGAAUUACUGGGCGUAAAGCGUGCGUAGACGGUUAUGUAAGUCGGGUGUGAAAGCCCCGGGCUCAACCUGGGAAUUGCAUUCGAGACUGCAUAGCUAGGGUGCGGAAGAGGGAAGCGGAAUUUCCGGUGUAGCGGUGAAAUGCGUAGAUAUCGGAAAGAACACCAGUGGCGAAAGCGGCUUCCUGGUCCAGCACCGACGUUCA